CAGGGGCAUCGCUGGGUAGCUAUGUCUGGCAGAGAUAACCGCUGAAAGCAUCUAAGUGGGAAACUCGCCCCAAGAUUAGGUCCCCCACCGGAAUAACCGGGUAAGACCGCAGAUAGACUAUCUGCUAGAUAGGCGGCAAGUGUAAGCGCAGCAAUGCGUUCAGCUAAGCCGUACUAAUCGGUCGAGGGCUUAAUUCG
rnacentral:rRNA from 1 species